AAAAAGUUUUCAGAUUAGUCCCAUCGACAUUUGGAUUCCUCAAUGUACCUCGGCUGUCAAACCGAGGUUUUU
rnacentral:ncRNA from 1 species